rnacentral:rRNA from 1 species
UAGGGAAUCUUCCACAAUGGACGCAAGUUGAUGGAGCAACGCCGCGUGAGUGAAGAAGGUUUCGGAUCGUAAAGACUCUGUUGUUGGUGAAGAAGGAUAGAGGCAGUAACUGGUCUUUAUUUGACGGUAAUCAACCAGAAAGUCACGGCUAACUACGUGCCAG